AUGCUCGCUGUAUAUCUACGCCGCCCAGGAGCUCAUGCGACGGCACCUCGCUACGAAAGCGUAUGCGUGCAUGAUCGCCACGCGGAUGUGCAAUGCGCAUCUUGUAGCGCGGCGGCUUCCAUCGGCCCAUUGCCAUGUGAACUUUACCCCCGGGGUGAACACAAUGCACGCUGGCCCGCACCUUGGUACUCUAUGGCUUCACUCACACAACAUGCUGCUGCCAAACCGGGUUCGGUUGCGGCGCCCUUGUCCAUGCACUAUCGUGGCUUUCCAGGUUUAACGAUGGCAACCUACUCCGUGGAUCGGUGUGGCAUGCUCUGA
rnacentral:rRNA from 1 species